AUUAUUCAUACCUAAUUAAAAAGUGCAAUUUAUUCAUCAAUACAAUUAUCAUUUAUCAUCAUAUGCACAAGAGCAAAUUCAAGAUUAAGAACAAUAAUUUAAACAUAAUCUUUUCCAACUUUAACAAACAGCAAGAUUUAAAAAUUAUUAUGAGAAUAAAUUAUAAAAGGAAAAAAAUAGAGGAACUGUAUCAUGAAUGAAUUUAUAUUUUGAAUGAUUCAUUAUCUUAUAUUCUUGUGUUUAUCAUAAUAUAGUCCCAUAUUAAUCAAAUACCAGUGAACAAUGACUCUAAAAUUAAAACACAACAUAAUUGCAGAUUUACAGCUUAACAGAUGAGUUAAACACUCACUAUUUUCAAUGAAUCAGAUCUGCGCAUGUAUGAAUCAGUUGAUGACAGCUGUUUAUCUUCUUCUCGAAAUUUCUGUAUUAGGGGAAAACAGAGAUAGGUAAGAAAUAUGCGAUAUUAAUAAAAAAAAUCGAUGAAAUUUUGAAAUUUCAAUGAAGCAUGGAAACUCAUUCCGUGAUGUAUUGUUCAAACUUUUUCAGGCUGGCGUACAGUCGUGCUAUGGAGAUAAUCACCUAAGCGAAGCUAUGGGUGUAAAUGGAUAGUCGAAAUCCGUAAGAGAAUCCGUUUAGGCUAAUCAGAUAUGGAUAUAUAGUCCUCUGGGGUAUGGAUACAGAAUUUAGUACCUAAAGACAGAUCGACAGAUAGGGACUAUCCAGUUAAUAAACGGAUACUAUCAUACUAUGACAUCCAUACCGUAUCUGUCCAGUUGACACCGCUAGGCGAGGUUUAAGUAUCAACUGAAAAUAAUAGGAAAAAAACGACAAGGAAUUUUUAGUUUUUUACAUACUUCCACCAAUAGAGGGUGUACAUCCACGGUAGUGUACUAUAAUGGGGUGUCUACAUAUUACAAAUGACUCAAGUUCAAGUGUUCAACAAGUAAUUAAAGCUAUACAGAGAGAGUUUAUCUUGGGCCCUAAAGGCUAAAGCUACACAGAGAGAGUUUAUCUUUGGCUGAGCAGUGAGCACCACUCUAACUUAUAACUCCC
rnacentral:lncRNA from 1 species